AUUGAACGCUGGCGGCAUGCUUUACACAUGCAAGUCGAACGGUAGAGGGGGCAACCCUUGAGAGUGGCGAACGGGUGAGUAAUAUAUCGGAACGUGCCCAGUCGUGGGGGAUAACGUAGCGAAAGUUACGCUAAUACCGCAUACGAUCUAAGGAUGAAAGCGGGGGACCGUAAGGCCUCGCGCGAUUGGAGCGGCCGAUAUCAGAUUAGGUAGUUGGUGGGGUAAAGGCUCACCAAGCCAACGAUCUGUAGCUGGUCUGAGAGGACGACCAGCCACACUGGAACUGAGACACGGCCCAGACUCCUACGGGAGGCAGCAGUGGGGAAUUUUGGACAAUGGGGGAAACCCUGAUCCAGCCAUGCCGCGUGUCUGAAGAAGGCCUUCGGGUUGUAAAGGACUUUUGUCUGGGAGGAAAUCCCUAGCGUUAAUAGCGCUGGGGGAUGACAGUACCGGAAGAAUAAGCACCGGCUAACUACGUG
rnacentral:rRNA from 1 species